GGGGCCGUUGGGAGCGACGUCAUCUCUUGGGGCGGGGUAGCUGGGUGGAGUUCCACUUGUUCUUCUGUGGCUCUGCCCUUCUUUUUCAGGUUCUCCGGGCAGCUCAUAUUUUUCUCGGUGCCAUUUUUCUGGUGGCAAUGGAGGGUUUUGGCACACUGCCAUCUCCACAGCAGCUUUGCUGACUGUAGCUAACUGGGUUUUUAAGUUUGCAUUUUCACACAGUAGGAGUGACACUACAUUAAUCAUCUUUUCUUUGUCCCACUUGGAGCUUGCCCACUCCUUUCCAACUCCCUCCUCUCCUCUCAGCAAGAAGUAGCCGCUGACGCACCCUGACUCCGCUCCGCUCGCUUGGUGAUAAGCGAUGUGGGCCCAUAAUUCAUCUGCGUUAUCUACACGGCACCCCCCACUACACCAGGGGCAGUUCUUAAUUAAUUCCCACUCCAUCACAUUUCCCCUUGAUCCUGUUCGUGACGCCAUGUCGGGACCCAGGGCAGCCGGCCAGCAGCUCUCCCUGACUCCCACCCGGGCAGAUAAGGGUCCGGGGCCUUAGAAGGCCGUCAGAUCCGGGAUUCGGAGUGCGUGGUGGAGAGGAGCCCCGAGAGGGACAACAUCACCGAAAGGAGUGAGGGCCUGAUAUGCGAUUCCGCCAUGAUGCCCGCUGAAGCCCUGAUCGUUCAGUUUUUUGUUAUGAAUGUAAUUAUGUGUAUAUUUGUGUGUGCCAGCUAUUAUUUGAUUUGAUCCCUUGAGGACGAACUUUUAUUGUUAGCUAAUUUUGUAUUUGUUCGUUUAGUUUCACGAACCGUUAACAGAGCUACUAAUAACCCGGAUGAUGGGCAUAUAAUAUAAUUUUACUGUGCCUCCAGCAAGGGGGGAUGUCAUAACCCAAAGGUAUGAUUUUGUGUGUGCUUCGGCACUAGAAUUAUCCCCGUUGAAUUACAGCUUCAUUGCACGGUGGAGUUUUGCUGCAUAGAGAACCCGCGUGCAAGGGAAAAGUUCCCGCCAAUUUGCAGCUCUAUUUGCGGGGUGCAUUUCUCAAGUUGCAACAGAAAUGCACGGUGCAAAGGAGUUCCCGCCACCCGUAUGCAAAUUUGUUCCCUGCUAUUCGCUAGUUCUAAAUUAUUCCCACGUAGCGGCUAGCGAUUGGCCUGCUAGCCGUAUAAGAGGCUUGAGCAGUUUCCGCCCAGGCCGAGGAGGACUCCACAUGGAUCUCGUGGGGACUCUGGGUACACGGCAGGGCAAUAGAAACCUUGUGUGAGAUUCAGAGGAGUCUGGCGGCCUGAUCCACCGCCCACCUCUUCCCGUCUUCGAACGAUAAAAUUUUAUAAGACGUAUCUACAAGUUUCCAUUUCAGUGGCGCGCUUGUCCAGGGCAUCCGGAGCUCUGUUUACGUGGAGCCUAGCAAACUCCACAUGAUUGUUCGUGUCGUGUUGUCUGUAACCGCAACUCAAGCAAGUUUUCCAGCCUGCACCGUGACCAUCUCCGGUGUAAGUAAACAAUCUUCAAAUCUA